UUAUGGUUCUUUGGGCACUCCCUUGCAUAAUGUUGGGCGCUACCACAUAUGUGACAAGUGUUGUUAAGGCGAUAGUAGGGUCGGUCCCCAUGAUCUUUGCCACAGUGAUGACAAGUCCUACCACGUCCCAUUGUUAGAAUCUGAGGGGGUGCCUGAGUAAUCAGCCUAGGUCUCUUGUUCUGUUGAAUAGGUGCAGUAGGUGCUGGUCUGCUAUAUGGAGCUAAGGGCUUGAGGCUCC
rnacentral:lncRNA from 1 species